AUUGAACGCUGGCGGCAUGCCUUACACAUGCAAGUCGAACGGCAGCACGGGAGCUUGCUCCUGGUGGCGAGUGGCGAACGGGUGAGUAAUACAUCGGAACGUACCCUGAAGUGGGGGAUAACGUAGCGAAAGUUACGCUAAUACCGCAUAUUCUGUGAGCAGGAAAGAGGGGGAUCGCAAGACCUCUUGCUUUAGGAGCGGCCGAUGUCGGAUUAGCUAGUUGGUGAGGUAAAGGCUCACCAAGGCGACGAUCCGUAGCGGGUCUGAGAGGAUGAUCCGCCACACUGGGACUGAGACACGGCCCAGACUCCUACGGGAGGCAGCAGUGGGGAAUUUUGGACAAUGGGCGCAAGCCUGAUCCAGCCAUGCCGCGUGAGUGAAGAAGGCCUCGGUGUAAGACUCUUCGUGGAGAAUG
rnacentral:rRNA from 1 species